UGAUGAGUCAGGCUACUGGUUAUAUUCCAGGGCUUAUCCAGUUCUGAGUAUAACCAAAGCCUGGCUGAAUG
rfam:Rattus norvegicus chromosome 1, whole genome shotgun sequence.